rnacentral:tRNA from 1 species
GUACUGGCGCGGUUUACAGAGAAACAGGCCUGCUGACAUGGGGUGUCGGGGGUCGGAGGUUCGAAUCCUCUCAUGCCGACCA